rnacentral:rRNA from 1 species
GAUGAACGCUAGCGGCAGGCUUAAUACAUGCAAGUCAAGGGGGUAGCAAUACAACCGGCGCACGGGUGAGUAACGCGUACACAACAUACCAUAUACUGGAGUAUAGCUUUGGGAAACUGAAGGUAAUCCUCCAUAACAUUGCGAGAGGGCAUCUGAUUGCAAUUAAAGUUUCGGCGGUAUAUGAUUGGUGUGCGUUUGAUUAGCUAGUUGGUAGGGUAACGGCCUACCAAGGCGACGAUCAAUAGCUGGCGUGAGAGCACGACCAGCCACACUGGAACUGAGACACGGUCCAGACUCCUACGGGAGGCAGCAGUAGGGAAUAUUGGACAAUGGAGGAAACUCUGAUCCAGCCAUGCCGCGUGAUAGAUGAAGGCCCUCUGGGUUGUAAAUAUCUUUUAUCUGGGAAGAAACACUCCUAUUCUUAGGAACUUGACGGUACUAGAGGAAUAAGCACCGGCUAACUCCGUGCCAGCAGCCGCGGUAAAGUA